rnacentral:rRNA from 1 species
GAUGAACGCUGGCGGCGUGCCUAAUACAUGCAAGUCGAGCGAACAGACGUGGAGCUUGCUCCUCUGACGUUAGCGGCGGACGGGUGAGUAACACGUGGAUAACCUACCUAUAAGACUGGGAUAACUUCGGGAAACCGGAGCUAAUACCGGAUAAUAUAUUGAACCGCAUGGUUCAAUAGUGAAAGACGGUUUUGCUGUCACUUAUAGAUGGAUCCGCGCCGCAUUAGCUAGUUGGUAAGGUAACGGCUUACCAAGGCAACGAUGCGUAGCCGACCUGAGAGGGUGAUCGGCCACACUGGAACUGAGACACGGUCCAGACUCCUACGGGAGGCAGCAGUAGGGAAUCUUCCGCAAUGGGCGAAAGCCUGACGGAGCAACGCCGCGUGAGUGAUGAAGGUCUUCGGAUCGUAAAACUCUGUUAUUAGGGAAGAACAAAUGUGUAAGUAACUAUGCACGUCUUGACGGUACCUAAUCAGAAAGCCACGGCGAACUACGU